rnacentral:rRNA from 1 species
CCGUAGCCCAAGAGAUCGGGAUAACACCUGGAAACAGAUGCUAAUACCGGAUAACAACAGAUGAUGCCUAUCAACUGUUUAAAAGAUGGUUCUGCUAUCACUCUUGGAUGGACCUGCGGUGCAUUAGCUAGUUGGUAAGGUAACGGCUUACCAAGGCGAUGAUGCAUAGCCGAGUUGAGAGACUGAUCGGCCACAAUGGAACUGAGACACGGUCCAUACUCCUACGGGAGGCAGCAGUA